rnacentral:rRNA from 1 species
UACGUAGGGGGCAAGCGUUGUCCGGAUUUAUUGGGCGUAAAGCGCGUGUAGGCGGCCAGGUAGGUCCGUUGUGAAAACUCGAGGCUCAACCUCGAGACGUCGACGGAAACCCUCUGGCUAGAGUCCGGAAGAGGAGAGUGGAAUUCCUGGUGUAGCGGUGAAGUGCGCAGAUAUCAGGAAGAACACCCGUGGCGAAGGCGGCUCUCUGGGACGGUACUGACGCUGAGACGCGAAAGCGUGGGGAGCGAACAGG